UGUUAAUUAAGAUUUUUCUUGAUAUCUCAUGUUUUUCAGAGGCCCAUAAAGCCAAGAACAAAAUAAUGUUCUAGAGAUGCUAAUAUCUACUUUUUACAGUGAGGUUAACGGACCAUUUAUGUGGGAUUUGUGAAAUUACUGAUCCAGGACUGGGGUUGACUUCAGUGGCUCAUACAAGAGGUUCUAUUAGAAAAGGCUGUGAAUUCACAAGGAGGUUGACAAGGGUGGAAGGCUGCGGAAUAAAACAAGCAUAUAAGUGACCGUGGUACAAAGCAGCACAUGAUAAAGGGCUUCCAAUGAACACUGAUAACAUAUGCCAUAGGACUAGAUGUGUUAGUCCAGUUACAAUGACAAGCUCCACAAUGACAACUGCCACAUUGAGCAAUGAUAACUUUAAGAGCUCCUCCCUGGCCAAAGCUGCUUUUCUCUCCCUUGGUGUUCUUAUUUUGCUCUCUGGAAAAGAGCAAAAUGUUCUGCAUGAAAUUUUAUCUUCAACUUUCUGUGGCCAAUGA
rnacentral:lncRNA from 13 species